rnacentral:rRNA from 1 species
UUCGAUUAGAGUUUGAUCAUGGCUCAGAUUGAACGCUGGCGGCAUGCCUUACACAUGCAAGUCGAACGGCAGCACGGGAGCAAUCCUGGUGGCGAGUGGCGAACGGGUGAGUAAUACAUCGGAACGUGCCCAAUCGUGGGGGAUAACGCAGCGAAAGCUGUGCUAAUACCGCAUAAGAUCUACGGAUGAAAGCAGGGGACCGCAAGGCCUUGCGCGAGUGGAGCGGCCGAUGGCAGAUUAGGUAGUUGGUGGGGUAAAGGCUCACCAAGCCGUCGAUCUGUAGCUGGUCUGAGAGGAUGGUCAGCCGGAUUGGGACUGAGAUACGGCCCAGACUCCUACGGGAGGCAGCAGUAGGGAAUCUUCCGCAAUGGACGAAAGUCUGACGGAGCAACGCCGCGUGAGUGAUGAAGGCUUUCGGGUCGUAAAACUCUGUUGUUAGGGAAGAACAAGUACGAGAGUAACUGCUCGUACCUUGACGGUACCUAACCAGAAAGCCACGGCUAACUACGUGCCAGCAGCCGCGGUAAAUCACUAGUGAAUUCGCGGCCGCCUGCAGGUCGACCAUAUGGGAGAGCUCCCA